GAUCGGUGCUGCCUUCACAUCCUUUGCAGGAGUGUCAUGUGCCUGCUGCUGCUGGUGUGCAGGUGUGAUGUCCUCGGGAGAGUGUGGAUUGUUAAGUCCAGAUGUGUCCCCAGUAUGCAGAGGCAUUGUGGGAGUUGAACUGUCAGGAACAUUCUAAACUCCAGUCUCCUUGAGCUGUUUGGAACCAUCACAGACAGUGAAAAGGGACAAUGCUCCACAUCUUGGGCAAGAGUGUCAGUUACACUGUGCAGUGGCUUUUCAGAUACACUAUAUGGACUGACACUGACAUUACAGUUUCCAAAGACGCUCUCCAGUUCUGUUUCUGGCUAGAGGUUGUGUUGUGGAACAAGUAUAAACUGAGACUGUGUUUGGAGGAUGCCGGCCGCUUUACUCAGCACAACACUUCCUGCACCUCUAUGGUUUAUUAAAGAUGUACAUGCUUUUCUCUUG